CGGGGCGUAGCUCAGCUUGGAUAAGAGUGCUUGCUUGGGGUGCAAGAGGUCAGGAGUUCAAAUCUCCUCGCCCCGACAA
rnacentral:tRNA from 1 species